GUAGGCAUAGUUUUAACAAAAUAUUAGAUUGUGAUUCUAAAGAUAGGGGUUAAACCCCCCCUUGCCCACC
rnacentral:tRNA from 1 species